CCCGCCCCGGGAAUGCGCUGCUCGGCGGCCGCUCGAAGGAGCUGCGCGGCGGGCGGGGAGCGGGAUGGAGGUGGAGGAGGCGUUCCCGCUGGUGGGGCAGAUGGGCCCUUACCAGGUGUACCUGUGCGUCCUGCUGGCCGUGCUCCUCCAGCUCUAUGUGGCCACUGAAGCCAUCCUCAUCGCAUUGGUGGGUGCAACUCCUCCCUACCAGUGGGAUCUCCAGGGGCUCUCAGCUAAUGAGAGCCAUGGCAACCACUCAGUGAGCGAGCAGGGAGCUUUUGGGGAAUGGCUUCUGACUGCCAACAGCAGCGAGGUGCGCGAGCACGUACACUUCAGCAGCAACUUCACGUCCAUUGUCUCUGAGUGGUUUUUAAUUGGCAAUGCAUCGUACAAAGUCAGUGCUGCCAGUUCUUUCUACUUCAGUGGUGUGUUUGUUGGAGCCAUCUCCUUUGGACAGCUGUCCGAUCGCUUCGGGAGGAAGAAAGUCUAUCUCACAGGUUUUGCACUUGACAUCUUGUUUGCCGUUGCAAACGGAUUCUCACCCUCGUAUGAAUUCUUUGCCGUUUCCCGAUUCUUGGUAGGGAUGAUGAAUGGUGGGAUGUCCCUGGUAGCCUUUGUUCUGCUGAAUGAGUGUGUGGGUACAGCCUACUGGGCAUUAGCAGGUUCUAUUGGUGGCUUGUUCUUUGCUGUUGGAAUUGCCCAGUAUGCUUUAUUAGGGUAUUUCGUUCGUUCCUGGAGGACUCUGGCUGUUGUGGUUAAUCUGGAAGGAGCAGUCGUCUUUCUCUUCUCUCUAUUCAUUCCUGAGUCCCCCCGCUGGCUCUAUUCCCAGGGCCGUCUGAACGAGGCGGAAGAUGCCCUCUACCUCAUUGCCAGGAGGAACCGCAAGCAGAAAUGCACUUUUUCAUUAAAACUGCCAGCGGAGAGGAGCUCCAGAGAGGCUGGCAGCUUUCUGGACCUGUUCCGAUACAGGAUUCUCCUGGGACGCACCUUGAUCAUGAUGUUCACCUGGUUUGUGUGCAGCUUGGUUUACUACGGUCUUACCCUUAAUGUGGGUGACUUAGGCGGAAAUAUUUAUGCCAAUUUAGCCCUGUCAGGCUUGAUAGAAAUCCCAGCAUACCCAGUCUGUAUUUACUUGAUUAACCAAAAAUGGUUUGGUCGGAAGCGAACGCUGAGUGCAUUUCUCUUCCUGGGAGGAUUGGCCUGUCUUAUUGUCAUGUUUCUGCCGAAGAAGAGAGAUACUGGAGUGUUUGCUGUGGUGAACAGUCGCUCUCUGUCUUUGCUGGGAAAACUGACAAUCAGUGCUGCUUUUAAUAUUGUCUACAUCUACACAUCAGAACUUUAUCCCACAGUCAUAAGGAAUGUUGGAAUGGGUGCCUGCUCAAUGUUUUCCCGUGUUGGUGGAAUCAUUGCGCCUUUUGUCCCUUCAUUGAAAUCUGUACAGUGGUCUCUGCCUUAUAUUGUGUUUGGAGCAACUGGUCUGUUGUCUGGGCUCUUAAGCUUGUUGUUGCCAGAGACCUUAAACAGCCCUUUGCUAGAAACUAUUUCAGACCUGCAGGUGUGCUCCUACUGGAGGCUGGGUGAUGAAGCCAUGUCACUGCAAGCCCUAGAUGGCUCACAGUCUGGAGACAAAGACAGCUCUACAGGGAGUGGAAGUGAAGAUGAGGAGUUUUAUGAUGCUGAUGAAGAGACUCACAUGAUAAAGUAAUGAAAAGAAGAAACACUGGCCUAUUUUAUGCCUCUUCUUGCCCAGUCAGUCCAGCUGUAUGACAAGUACUUGUACUGUAUGACAAGUAUUGCUUGCCAGGCAAUGUAAUUGGGCAAGUGCCUGUGUUUUUCCUUACUUGGAGAGGGAUUUGGGUACUGUUCAGACUGAUGACAUCACUGAUGUUCUCCAUAUGAGGCAGCCAUUCCAAUUCUUGUAGUUCAGAAUACAGUGCAUGGACUGCAUUUGAAGCCAGGUGAGACAGCAGGAGUGAGAUGAUGUAUUUCAGAAGCCCUGGAAUAACCUAGGCUUAGACAAAUUUGGACAGAUCAUCAGUGUGUGUGUUAGUAUUUUAUUUUCAAGGUGGUGGAUUUUAUUUCAGUACAAAUUGGUAAACUUGGAAACAGCCACUGUAUUUUCCAUAAGGGUGAAAGUGGUCAGAGAAUGUGCUGUGUGCUACUCCAGUGGGAACAAAUUGCUGAAAUUGUAUGUUUAAAUGGCUUUUGCAUAUUCAGUGGAGGAGAGGCAGCUGUGAACAAAAGGUUUCUGUGUGCACACCUACAGGUGGUUAGUCAUGAGCUGGGCUUUAACUUAGUGAUAAUGGAAGGUUGGGAGGAAGGACUGCACAAAAGAGCAGCCACAAAGCCUGCCAACAUACAGGAAGUUACUGACUUUUUUCCUUCUUUUCAUACACAAAGCUUUUUCUUGGUCUUGUGUAUGUUUGCCACGUGUUCCCCACAUCUCAGCAUGGCUGUUUAUAGCUUUGCCUACUUUUACCUUGUCCUCACUUUGCCAUAACUGUUGAAGCUCAGCAACUUCUCUGUGGAGUGAAAUAAUUCUGUGAUGGAUAUCGUUUCCUGGGUGCAACAAAGGUGAGGCAUUUAUCACAUACUGUGUGUGUGGUGUGAUAGAAUGUAUAGCUCACUUUUGUGGACCUGUCUGGGUCUUUAUUUCUGGAAAAGGCUUAACUCUGAAGUUGUAAGAGGAACUGUGGAGUGCUUUUAUAUUUUGGGUGCUGUUAUCAGGAAGCUGCUGGUGUUUAUUUUAAAAUCUUUUGUGUAGCUAAGGUUUUAAUUUAAAAAGACAGCAAAUCUCUUUGGACCUUUUUGGUUACUUGAUGUUUUCUGACCAAUGCUUGCUCAAGCACUUGGUUACUUGACCUUGUUAAGGAGAACAACUUCACUUUCCUGUUUCACUGACCUUUCUGUAGGUGCUUCAUUAGAGGGAUAUGGAAUCCCAAAAUGUGAGACAUGUGGAAUGUUCCAACUACAAAAAUGAGGCCUUACAGAGAUUCAGUUUUCUUGAUGACAUUGCCAUCUUCAUCCUCUAACCUGUGGCUUUCUCUUUGUCAAGACUGGUUUCCAUAAAAUGUUAGUCUUCUUACUUUGAGUUCCUAGUAAAGUGCUCACAAUGGCAGUAAAUAUAUUUUCAGGCUCAUGAGUCAUUUUUGCAGAUCUUAGAAUUAAAAAAGGUGGGUCUAAAAAUACCAAAAAGCUGUCUGCUGAAAAUGUCCUGGUUAGAGUGGGAAGUUCCUUUACUUGCAAGGAAGUGAAAGUAACCAGCAUCUGACGUUUGCAGCCAGCUGCUUGAACUUUGUUCACUGGGAACUGUAAUGCUGAGCAAAGUGCAUCUGCCCUGAUUGCUGCAGAGAGCAGCCCAGAGUCUGCAGUUUGACACAUGCAGCAUUCCAAUUGGGUGUGAACUUGAUCCAGGUGUUGACUGUGGGCAAAGUUGGGAACUUCAGUCCCUAUGAACAGUCUGUCAAUAUUGUUGUGUUUUUUGCCUGUAUUAUUCUUCACUGGAAGAAUUCUCACUCAUAGUCUUCCCUUUUUUUCCCCCCACAGACUGUUGAGUAGUUGUUAUAGAUGUGGCACUUUUUAACCCAGGUAGCUCACUUAGUGGGAUUAUGCUAGAGAGAAGAGAGCUUUUCCCAUGGUGCUGAUUAAUCAGGUCUGAGCAGAAUCCCAAACACACCUCACCUACCUGGGGAGCCACAAGUGAUAAGUGAAUACACCUAAGAGUGAAGGAGAGUGACAGGUCAUGUGAGGCAGCAUGGAGGAGAAUGAGCUGGAAGAAGUGAAAAUAAAAAAAGGGAGGAUUCAACUGAAACACUUUAGGGCAAGGGUAAGUGAAAACACAAAAUAGCUGUUGGGUAGAAAUACCCUUUAAUACAAUACAAUUUUAAAUUUUUCCUGAAAACAAAGAUAGUGUUCUCUAAUUAGGAAUUGGGAAAGUUCAGAGACCCCUGAGAUACCAGAAACGUAGAAGCUCUGUGUUAAAGGAGAGCCAGAGGUGACUCUGUUCAGGUCAGGAUGCUGAGUGAGGAGCCUCGCCAGAGACACCCAGCUAACAUGGAGCAGGUUGCAGCUUGUUUCCACCAUAGUUACAGUCAAGGCUCUAAGGAUGGGAGCCAUCAUUAGUGUUCAUUAGCUCAAAGUGUGCAAUCCAUGCCAGCUUUUCCAAACUGUGUGGAUGUUCUUAGUAGGACAUGAUUUACAGAGCCAUGGGGAAUGCAGUUGAGCCAUACAUUUUGCAGCGUAUUUCACCUAAGCAUGUAAAAGCCGUUUGCAAGAGAAUGUUUUUCUUGCACUCAGGAAAAAGGGAAAGUGAGGAAAUUUUCCUGGAGUGUGUUAAAGGGAAUAUUAGCACUAAAACUCUUGUUCUUAAGUCUUCUGAAUGCAGAUAGUAAUCACUGAAUGCAGACUGGGUGAGCAGUAUUUUGUUUUAGCUGAAGGUUGUGUGUUUAUCCCUUUUCCCACCCCAGGAGCACUUCUGUGGUCCAGCUCUUUGACACAGCAGAAUCUGUGACUGCAGACUGUGAGCCUUGCAGUAAAGAUGUCAGAAAAGCCCAAGAGCAGUGCUGUCAUUUGAUGGUGGAAGUUAGUCUGAUCUGACACAGUGUUUCUAUCAGAAAUGUCUAUAUUCAGCUGUUUACCAAACAGGAGACUUAGGGUAUAGCUAUAUUUUGAGUCUCAUUUGUUGUAUCUUGCUGCAAGAUAUGUGGUAGAAAGACAUCUACAUAAGAGAACCUCUCUGGCAGAUCUAAAUGUGGAAUUGGAGGGUGAACAAAUUGAUAAAUAAUUUUUUCAUGCUGUGUAUUUUAAUGUAUUUUAAUUUUGUCUAGUCUGUUGUAGCCUUCAGAUUUUCCAGGUGAUACUGUUAUUUAAGGCUAGUAGAGCUGGGUAAAACUUUUACCCUGGUAGUCUGAAUUUACUGAACUUUCUCAUCCCAGUUUUGGUACUAUUCUCUGUUACUGUCAUUCUGAAAAAUGCUCCUGUAUUGCUUAAUAGGGAACAGAUUUUUUUUGUUCUAAUUUGAAGUGCCUGUUUUGUGAAAGUAGUCUUUAAUUUCCUCCGUCAGUUUUAUAUGGGACUAUGUGUAAAGUAGCAUCACAGAAUUGGAUUAUAUGUGUGCCAAAGACAGUUUUUGCUGGAGAGCAAUAGUCCAAAACUAGUUUGAGCUGCCUUUAUUUAGACUUUAUCCAUGCAGAACUGGUUCGCAGAACUGGUAUUUACAGGCAUCCCUGAAACUAUAGGGACAGAGAGUUACCUUUGUUUGCUUGGCUUUCGUUGCUUGGUUCACUUAAGUAGCUUUUGUUUCUGAGAAACCAAAGAAAUUAAAUGAAGGAUUAAAGUGUUCUUUUUGUAGAACAUUCAGAGUUUAUACCAUGUAGCCAUUGCAGAGAAAUCUGCAGAACCUGUUUUGAUUCUGAGUAGCAAGUGUCAAAGUUUACUCUCUAAGACUGAUAAAACCUGGUUAAAAACUGUACACUGGAAUUUGUUAGUUCAUUCAUCAAUCUUACAAAUUAGCAUUGCUAGUAAACAGUUUGCCUGGAGCUUCUUGGGAUCUAGCAGGUUUUUUAUAAAAUGUACACACUGUUUGAGGCAUUGCUAAAUAAUAAUGUAUGGAUUUUAAAUCCCUACUACAACUAAUAUUCACUGCAAGUCAGCCUUGACAUGGCUGCAUAUUUGUCAGCAAAAAAGCAGGUGGAUAAAACUUUAUACAGCGAGGGCUGACUAGGCCCAGAAGAAAGAUAAUUUCUUUCAAGCCAUUCUCUGCUAUGUGUACACAAUAAAGGGUGACCAUGGGGUGUAUACAGUAAGAUUGUAGGAUGGAAUAUGUUUAAAUACUUGCCUGCCCUCAUUCACUAAAGGUUUCUAGAGGAAAUCUGUCUUUAUCAUGCAUGUUUCUGCAUCCCACGAACGCAUCUGAGGUGCUCAUUUUGUACCUGUUUUGUCAGGAGUCAGGCAAAAGUAUGAUGGUAAGAAAACCUUUGCCAGUAUUGAAAGCUGUAUUUACUAAAAAAUCUCCUCAGAGAGGUAUCUGGUACAUCUGUUUCCAAACAAAAUUUUUAAAUUUUGGAAGCCUGAUUAGGAGGCUUGCAUUUCUGAUGUUAGUCUGUAGGAAAAAUCAGUUUUGCAGAUACUGAUGAAAACUGUUACAGAGCAAAAACUGCUAGGGGAUUUGUGAUGAGAGUUGUGUAUGCUUUGAUUUCAAAUAGGCCUCUAAAAUACUGGUUUCUAGUAUUUGAUCCCUUUUGCUCCUCAAAAUCCAACCCAGAUUUUAUUUUAUUCCUCUUAAAAUUUGAGUAAUGUGGAAAUGAGAAGUAUGUUUUUCAUAUGGAUACUUCUAUUGCACUACCUUUGCUUCCUGAAUCAAAUAAGUAUUUUGAUUUUUUUAGGCUACCUCUUUUAUGUUGAGCUUUUUGUUGUCACUUUUGUAUUUAAUUGAUUUUGGGGAAACAACAAAAUAUUUCCUUUUUUUAUUUGUGUGGGAAUCCAUUACUUAGUCCUCAAGUCAUCCUUCCCUUUAAAGGUUUUGUCAAUAGCUUUUUUAAAUUUAGUUAAAAGACUUAAAACUUCUGAGGAUCUUCAUAAUUACACAGUUAGGAAAUGGCUUUCCUGUUUAUAUUGUUUGCCUUUAAAAGGGACAGAAAGCCCUUAAUUCUAUACUAAUGUCAGCUGAAGGCAUGACUUUUCAGGAAUAGUAAGUUUUGAGUCAGGGGGCUUUAAUCAAUUUAAUUUAUUGCCAAUUAGAGUUUUUUUGUUACUGCUUUGGUAUUGGAAUUAAAAAUAAUGAAAACACUUAAGGAAAAUACUGCUGCUUUUCUCCAGACACUGAUCUUCCUUCUUUCUACCCCAUGCCAUCCUCCAAUUCCUUGGCUGCUUGUCAUGCUCUGUCCCCUCAGCAAGGUAACAGGCAGCGCAGGAGACUGGCAUCAGUCUGUUGUGCUUCUGUUCAUUCACCACUCUUUGUUUCUUGUUCUGCUGCUCUCUUGUGGGCUCCAGCACCAGCCACAGUCCAUUUAGAGUUGUGGCUCCUUUUGAGUCUACUCUCAACCUCUGCUCAGGCUGAUUUUCCUUUGGUGUUUCUCCUGCUCAUCUGUCUCUCUGUUUGUCUUGUGCUAAUGUGGGCUUAUCCUUUUUCCUCAUCCUGUUGUAGCACUGUAAUCGCUUUUUCUUGGCAUUUACAGCCAUAUCUUAAACAUGCUUUUGUCCAAGUGCCAUCAGCUCCUCUGGCAGUGUUGGAGUGCAGUGGGUCAGUACUCACUGGGCCUGAGAGGCAGUGGCCACUAUCUGAAACACUGGAGGAUCCAUCUGAACACAGGGAAGCCCCUUUUUAAUGCGCGGGAGGUGGAGCACUGGCACAGGUUGCCUGGAAAGGUUGUGGAAUCUCCAUGUGUGCAGAUACUCAGGAGUCACUGGGACAUGGUCGUGGGCAGUCUGCUUUAGUACUUGGCUCUGCUUGAGCUGGGAGGUUGGGCCAGGUGACCUCCAGAGGAGGUGCCUGCCUUCCUCUGAGGAUGGAGGGCACCACCAGAGGUGCCACCUCCAGAGGUGCCUUCCAUCCUCAGCCGUUCUGGGAUUCCUGUGCUGGCUGCUGCUGAGCUGCCUGGGACCAGCACAGGCAGUCCCUGGCAUCUUCCCUCACAGGACACCCUGCCCAAGCCCUGACAGCCGUGCUCAUACGCCACUCCACAGGGUUUUCUUGCACGUCAAGUCCUUGGCCUGGGCUGACAGGUGGCUGGUACUGUCUUGCCGUUCUGUGUUGCUGUUGUCUUAGGUCAAGUAACUGAAACUCCUAGGGACAUGAACAGACAUUUAUAGCCAAGCUCUGUCUGUGUGCAUUUACAUCUUUGCUGAUUUCAGAAGACAGAACUUAGACCUCCUCUUGUCCAGAGGGGUAAAUUACUUUUUUUGCUGCUCCACCUUUCAUCAUCAUGAAAACGAAUCUUUAUGUAUUCUCUAUAUGCUGUAGACUUGCAUUGUUUUCUCAUUCCUGUUUAAUGUGAACUAACAAUCAAAAGUCCUUGCCAGUUGAGAGCUGAGUAACAGGAAAUUGGUAACGGGGGCAGGGGGAGCAGAUUCAGUUCAAAAAUGAAGUUGUAUAUAGUUGAUGUGUGUACUGUUAAGUAUUUAAUUUGGAUUAAUGGAAUCCUGAGUGUUACAAGCAUUCCCAUGUUAAAAUGAGGACUGAUGUAUUUCAGAAGUACUUUCUCUUCUCUAACUGUAUUAAUGUGCUGUUGUUAACUCAGAGCUGUACUGCUGGAAAGUCUGUUUGUAGAAUACUUCAUCUGAGAAGUCACAACUGAAGACAGCGUAAGCUUUUCCACCGUAGACCUUUUAUGGUGAUAUAUUCAUAUGUUCUGUGAACAGCUGUUGGAUCCAUCUUUUUAAGAUGUUCUUUGCCAUAGUGAGGGGCCAUAACAAAUGUUGAAAUAUUCAGAAUAAUUGCACUUAUCUAUUCUGUUUUCUUAAUGUAUUUCCUAUGCAUACUGCCUUACCUGUAUGUAUUGUACUUCACUGGUGGUACGAAAAGUCAAUAUCAGGUUCUUAAUUUAGAAUGUGUUAAUGAGUUUUUAAAAUAAUUCUGUAAUACUAAAUAUUUUCCAGUGAUCUGUCUGCUAAGAGAGGGUGAUGAUGGGUAAGCCCAGGUGAAUUUAGUCAAAAAGUUAAUAUUGGUUAUCUUUACUUUCUCUUUUAAUUUCUGAAUUAUUUCAAUAAUUUUAAAUACAUAUUUUUUUAGGAAUUUUGUAGAGGCUAACUUAUGUUAGGAAACCAACUUUUAGGUGAUUUGUAACAGCUCUAAUACUGCCUCUGACUCGUACAGUUCAUCCAAUGUCUUUGUAACUUAUUUUGUGCCUUUUCUUCCCGUGACACAAAAUGUCUCAAUAAAAACAAGUUCUUUUGCAA